GACGAACGCUGGCGGCGUGCUUAACACAUGCAAGUCGAACGGAAAGGCCCUGCUUUUGUGGGGUGCUCGAGUGGCGAACGGGUGAGUAACACGUGAGUAACCUGCCCUUGACUUUGGGAUAACUUCAGGAAACUGGGGCUAAUACCGGAUAGGAGCUCCUGCUGCAUGGUGGGGGUUGGAAAGUUUCGGCGGUUGGGGAUGGACUCGCGGCUUAUCAGCUUGUUGGUGGGGUAGUGGCUUACCAAGGCUUUGACGGGUAGCCGGCCUGAGAGGGUGACAGGCCACAUUGGGACUGAGAUACGGCCCAGACUCCUACGGGAGGCAGCAGUGGGGAAUAUUGCACAAUGGGCGGAAGCCUGAUGCAGCAACGCCGCGUGCGGGAUGACGGCCUUCGGGUUGUAAACCGCUUUCGCCUGUGACGAAGCGUGAGUGACGGUAAUGGGUAAAGAAGCACCGGCUAACUACGU
rnacentral:rRNA from 1 species